rnacentral:rRNA from 1 species
GCGUGAAAGGUCUUCGGACUGAGUAAAGCGGCGGACGGGUGAGUAAUGCUUGGGAAUCUACCUAGUAGUGGGGGAUAACGUGUGGAAACGCACGCUAAUACCGCAUACGUCCUACGGGUGAAAGCAGGGGAUCUUCGGACCUUGCGUUAUUAGAGCGGCCGAUAUCAGAUUAGCUAGUUGGUGGGGUAAAGGCCUACCAAGCCGACGAUCCAUAGCUGGUUUGAGAGGAUGAUCAACCACACUGGGACUGAGACACGGCCCAGACUCC